rnacentral:lncRNA from 1 species
GAACUGGUCCCCCCUUAAGGCACCCCUCUCCUGCUUUCCUUGGGCAUGAGUUGGCCCUGGGUCUAAACAGCCCCAUUGCAACCAAUAGGUACAGGCACCUCUGUUUCCAUCCUCAGCAGAGGGGACUCUGGGCUCCACCCAUGAGUUACUGAGAUAACAUGUGUUAUAUAUAAUAGCAGCUGGCUUGUGGCAGAGGCGCCACAGGAGGUCACGUUGACUUCCCAGCCCUCUGGACUCCCUGGGAUGCUCCCCAAGUCUGGAAUUCCCCCUUUUUUUGUGGCCCUUUCAAACUCUUCCCUUCUUGGAAAGCCAAGUCCAAAUUCCAUUUUCUCCACAGGGUCAUCCUGGACCUCCCUGGUCCCUGGACACCCCCACUCCCAUGUCCCCUUUUUAUAGCACUCAGAUUAAGCCUUAUCAGAGGAUGAAGAAAGCGAGGUUUGGAAGGGUGAGCUACCAAGUGAUUUCAGCUCUGCUGCCUGUUGAGCAAGGGCGAAGUGUGCGCAGGCGCAACCAGAGCCAAGGUCUUGCUGACAGAAUUGGAAAGGUCUGGGAGAUGAGCCAGAGGUUGAUACCGCAGCACAGAGGACACUGGGACCAUGUGACCCGGGGGAAGACACUCCAUCUCAACAGCUAAGCAGAUGGCUUGCAGCAGAGCAAUCUUAUUUCCUAAUUUGCUACCUGCUAGGGCUGUGGGGGAGAUCAGAGAAACUGACAGGGGCUGUCCCUUCACAGAUAUUUGCUGAGUACCAACUGUGCUCUUGGGCUGGGAGGGGUCCAAGUCAAGCUCUCUUCUAGGACCACUGACAGGGAAGCCAGCACCGCAGGGAUCAGUGGGGGGCUGCAGUGGAAAAGCCAACACCCCACCCCCGCCCCCACAGCCCUCCUCUGUAGGAGGCUAGCAUGUCGGGCCAGGCGCCGUGGUAACUCAGCAGUGUGACCUAACGGUUCACUCCUGUUCCCCCUCCUUCCUAUCACGUGACCUGGGGAGCUCCUUAGGGCUCAGUGCUUGAGUCUCUGUUUGAGAUGGACUUUGAGAUGGACAUAAAUAUGCACCGUUCUCCUGGCUCUGGUGUGGGGAUUAAGUGGAUUCAUUUGCUGAGUACCUUACUGAGUAAAGUGCUCAGCACUAAGCCAGACAUGUCUUAGGCAUCACUGAAGGCUUUGAAAGUUAACGGCUUGCCGUGACCCUGCCGUGACCCUGCUGCUUGGCACCUGAUGAUGCAGGUGUGAGUCUGUCCCUCAAAGAGUCGGACACCAGGAGCGCAGCUUGCAGCAGAGUUUCUCAUUCAUCUUUCUGUCUCUGGGCUAUUUGUACCCUAGAAUCUUUAGAAGACUGGACAAGACUUAUUUCAAACCGUUAAUAAUAAAGUAGUUUUUUGUUUGUUUGUUUGUUUGUUU